rnacentral:rRNA from 1 species
CAGCAGCCGCGGUAAUACAGAGGGUGCAAGCGUUAAUCGGAAUUACUGGGCGUAAAGCGCGCGUAGGUGGUUUGUUAAGUUGGAUGUGAAAGCCCCGGGCUCAACCUGGGAACUGCAUCCUAAACUGGCAAGCUAGAGUACGGUAGAGGGUGGUGGAAUUUCCUGUGUAGCGGUGAAAUGCGUAGAUAUAGGAAGGAACACCAGUGGCGAAGGCGACCACCUGGACUGAUACUGACACUGAGGUGCGAAAGCGUGGGGAGCAAACAGGAUUAGAUACCCCUGUAGUCCCUGUCUCUUAUAA